GGUAAAAAAAAGGUAAGCUACUAAGAGCGAAUGGUGGAUGCCUUGACUGGUAAAGGCGAUGAAGGACGUACUAGACUGCGAUAAGCUACGGGGAGCUGUCAAGAAGCUUUGAUCCGUAGAUUUCCGAAUGGGGCAACCCAAUGUAUAGAGAUAUACAUUACCUAUAUAGGAGCGAACGAGGGGAAUUGAAACAUCUUAGUACCCUCAGGAAAAGAAAUCAAUAGAGAUUGCGUCAGUAGCGGCGAGCGAAAGCGCAAGAGGGCAAACCCAGUGCUUGCACUGGGGGUUGUAGGACUGCAAUGUGCAAGAGCUGAGUUUAGCAGAACAUUCUGGAAAGUAUAACCAUAGAGGGUGAUAGUCCCGUAUGCGAAAAACAAACCUUAGCUAGCAGUAUCCUGAGUAGGGCGGGACACGAGGAAUCCUGUCUGAAUCCGGGUCGACCACGAUCCAACCCUAAAUACUAAUACCAGAUCGAUAGUGCACAAGUACCGUGAGGGAAAGGUGAAAAGAACUGAGGUGAUCAGAGUGAAAUAGAACCUGAAACCAUUUGCUUACAAUCAUUCAGAGCCCUAUGUAGCAAUACAGGGUGAUGGACUGCCUUUUGCAUAAUGAGCCUGCGAGUUGUGGUGUCUGGCAAGGUUAAGCAAACGCGAAGCCGUAGCGAAAGCGAGUCUGAAUAGGGCGCUUAGUCAGAUGCUGCAGACCCGAAACGAAGUGAUCUAUCCAUGAGCAAGUUGAAGCUAGUGUAAGAACUAGUGGAGGACUGAACCCAUAGGCGUUGAAAAGCCCCGGGAUGACUUGUGGAUAGGGGUGAAAGGCCAAUCAAACUUCGUGAUAGCUGGUUCUCUCCGAAAUAUAUUUAGGUAUAGCGUUGUGUCGUAAUAUAAGGGGGUAGAGCACUGAAUGGGCUAGGGCAUACACCAAUGUACCAAACCCUAUCAAACUCCGAAUACCUUAUAUGUAAUCACAGCAGUCAGGCGGCGAGUGAUAAAAUCCGUCGUCAAGAGGGAAACAACCCAGACUACCAGCUAAGGUCCCUAAAUCUUACUUAAGUGGAAAACGAUGUGAAGUUACUUAAACAACCAGGAGGUUGGCUUAGAAGCAGCCAUCCUUUAAAGAAAGCGUAAUAGCUCACUGGUCUAGUGAUUUUGCGCGGAAAAUAUAACGGGGCUAAAGU
rnacentral:rRNA from 1 species